rnacentral:tRNA from 1 species
AAGGAAAUGGAAGACGUUUGGUCAUGUCUUAUUUAGUUUUGAGAGGUCUUGUGGGGCCUUAGCUCAGCUGGGAGAGCGCCUGCUUUGCACGCAGGAGGUCAGCGGUUCGAUCCCGCUAGGCUCCAUAGGAUAUAAGUCCACCUAAACUUAAUAAUAAGUGAAGUUGAACACGCAACUCACUUCCUAGGAAAAUAGAUAAUCUUCCUUGUGUGUAAGCACACUGUGUCAGAUUCUAAUUUUCUACAGAAGUUUCGCUAAAGCGGCCGUUGCUUCGUAUCCUAAAGAUAGUCCAUUGAAAAUUGAAUAACUAUAUCAAAUUCCACGAUCAUACAAAUGAUUGUAGAAAAGUAACAAGAAAUAAACCGAAAAAAAGAUAAACGCGAACAUAUUAAAAAAUAAGAAGGUCGAAAGACUGGAAUAA